ensembl:lncRNA novel transcript
CUCUCUCACUUUCACCCCGUCUUAUAUUCUCCUUAAGCUUGCUUCGUUAGCCGACACACAUUCUAGAAAUCUUCCUCUUUUUCUUUAUCCUCUUAAUCUUUUCUUCUUUUCUUGCCCUCCCAACAUACGGUUCACACCCCCAUAUCACACCCCUCAAACUCUCCAUAUCCAUGUCCCCUUACACUCACACCCCCUACACACACGCACCCCUAUAACUAGAUAUCCAUCCCACAUACACUAGGACCCUCUGUGUCUCUCCCUGCCUCUUCACUGAGGAAACCCAGCCUUUGUAAAAUCAGGCUGAGCAGGCCAGCUGAAGACUGCCCAUCUGAUUGCAAUGCUAUUGAGGGAUGAAUAUGUCCAGGCUCUAGAGCUCAUGGAAUUCCUUCAACCCCUCAAGCAGCAUUGAAUUUGAGCUGCACAAAGAAGAAAGAAAAAGAGAAAAAGCAAGCUGAUCGCAGGUGACAACUGGAGUUCCCUAGCAAGCCACAUCAUGAGUGGCAGAGCCUUCCUGCAGCCCUGGACCACUCAGCUAUAGACUUUCACAUGAGAGAGAAAAACAAUCCUCCGCAGUUUAAGCAGCUGUGUUUUGAGUCUUUCUGUGAGAGGAAAUUAACCGUUAGUCUAACCAAUAUGGAAAUCUUCCUAUAAGGAUCUAAGAAGUUAGAAAGUAAUUAAUACUAUCAUCAGGAAAAAAGUUAGAAACAGCAAUGGGAUUGUAUUGAAAGAAGACAGGCUAAGGAGCCUGGCAGACCUGGAUUUGAAUCCCAGCUCUGUUGCUUACCAGUUCUGUAAUUUUUUUUGUUUUUGGUUUUGUUUUUUGGUUUUUUUGUUUUUUGUUUUUUGUUUUUGAGACAAUGUCUCCCUCUGUCACCCAGGCUGGAGUGCAGUGGGCUGAUCUCGGCUCACAGCAACCUCUGGGUUCAAGUGAUUCUCCCAUCUCAGCCUCCCAACUAGCUGGUACUACAGGUGCACACCACCAUGCCUGGCUAAUUUUUUGUAUUAACGGAUCAUUUACCCUGUGUCUGUUUGCUCAUCUAUAAAAUAGCAAAAUGCUAUCUGGUUUAGUUGUGAAGAAGAGAUCAAGAUGGAAAAGUGCCUGACUACUCAGUAGAUGGCAGUUGUGGUUAUUAUUCAAAAUGCAUCAUUGAAAGAAUCAAUUCAAGGAGGACUUAAGCAGUAGGACUCAAGGAGGAGAGGCAUUUUUAUUAUUUUCAUGUGUGGGGCAAUAGCUCUCAACUUCAGAGCCUCCAGCAUUCCCAAGUUCCAACCAAUGUGAGAGAGAAGGUGGUUAGCAAAAUGACUAAAAGCCCAAAGGGGAACCAAAAACAGAAAUACCUUAACAUAAAGGAGUGACUUUCGCGGGACUGGGAUCAGGAGACAUUUCUUUCUGGUCCUAGAGUCAAGAAGAAUUGUGCCUAAUGGACACUGUAAAUUUUAUAGCUGAGCAAGUCUCCCUCUUGGCCUUGACUGCUGAAAAACUCAAAGCCAAAUUUGACUCCUGGAAAAUGCAAAGGUGUUACACCUAGCUGGUAAGACAAGCUCUUUUCUGUUUGCUUAAUUCCUGACUUCAUCUUACAUCUCUAACCUGAAUGAUUUUUUUUCUCUUUCUUGCUUCUUCCAAUUUGUGUUCUCUCCUGGUAUAUUAUGAAUUCCUAUAAGACUCUUAAAUUUUUUCUUGGAGCAAAGAAUGAAUGAAUGGAUGGAUGGGUAAAUGAGGGAAUAACAUCCUCACAGAUGGUCAGUCCAAUUGCCUAAUCUUGAUAUUUGCAGUGAUUAGAAGCUCCCCAUCUGAUAAAAUAGUCCAUUUCAGCUUCAUUAUUAGAAUAUUCUGGCUUACACAGUUGAUAUCUGCUUCCUUAUAGGAAAUAAUAAUAUUAUUCAUAACAAGAGGAAUUUUUUGUUUUUUUGUUUGUGUUUGCUUGUUUUUUAGAGGCAGGGUCUCACUCUCACCCAGGCUGCAAUGCAGGGGCACAGUCACAGCUCACUGCAGCCUCAAAUUCCUUGGGGACUACUCAAGCAAUCCUCCUGUCUCACCCUCCCAAGUAGCUGGGACUACAGGUGCAGCCACUUUGAAAAACAGUCUACCUUUUGCUCAAAAGGUUAAACAUAGAGUUAUUGUAUAAUCCGUCAAUUCUACUCCUAGGUGUAUACCCAAGAUAAAUGAAAACAUAUGUCCACAAAAAACCCACUUUGUACACAAAUGUUUAUCGC